UUCUUGAAAGAUCCCCGAAGGGAGACCCUUAUUCAAGUCUUGGGAAAUCACGGACCCCAGACACAGAGAGACCA
rnacentral:pre_miRNA from 14 species